AGUGAACGCUGGCGGUAGGCCUAACACAUGCAAGUCGAACGGCAGCACAGUAAGAGCUUGCUCUUACGGGUGGCGAGUGGCGGACGGGUGAGGAAUACAUCGGAAUCUACUUUUUCGUGGGGGAUAACGUAGGGACACUUACGCUAAUACCUCAUAUGACCUACGGGUGAAAGCAGGGGAUCUUCGGACCUUGCGCGAUUGAAUGAGCCGAUGUCGGAUUAGCUAGUUGGCGGGGUAAAGGCCCACCAAGGCGACGAUCCGUAGCUGGUCUGAGAGGAUGAUCAGCCACACUGGAACUGAGACACGGUCCAGACUCCUACGGGAGGCAGCAGUGGGGAAUAUUGGACAAUGGGCGCAAGCCUGAUCCAGCCAUACCGCGUGGGUGAAGAAGGCCUUCGGGUUGUAAAGCCCUUUUGUUGGGAAAGAAAAGCAGCAGGUUAAUACCCCGCUGUUCUGACGGUACCCAAAGAAUAAGCACCGGCUAACUUCGUG
rnacentral:rRNA from 1 species